GCCGUCGACCUGGCGUUCGGCGGCCGCGCGCGCGUGCUGCGGCUGCGCGCGGGCGCGGUGUACGUGCGGGUCGCGGCCGACGCCGC
rnacentral:tRNA from 1 species